GGAAUUUCGGCCCCCAUCUUGAACCGGUCGUCUACUCUUCUUCGAGCAGCAGAAAGAAGAAGGAAGAACACGAUGCUAUAGCAGUGUGCUGCGUAUUCUUGCGCAAAUCGGCGGACCGUGGAAAACAGGUAACGAGGGAUUAUUUCUCACAAGUAAGAGUGAACUUUACGAUUGGUUAUAUUUUGUAAAUUGAAAAUUAUUCUACUGUUUUUAUGCCCACCAGCAAAAUGGUUGCCAGCUACCUAUAAGCUUAGCUAUGUUUAGUGCCAGUGUUCUGAACUGAAACUUUAAUAGUCAUAUUUCAUAAUGAUAUUGUAGAUACAAAACAAUUAUUAGUGGUAUGACAUUGACAUUUUUUUAUUUAUUUUUUACACAGAAUGGUCAUCUAAUUCACAAAUAGUAAGCUCACAGUCUUAAUAUACAUUUACUUGAAAAUAUAAUCAACUGAACAAUUUUAGCAGCCUUGCUGCGUUGUCAAAUAAUAUGCAUCAAAAUAAGAGUUUUGUUAAAUAAAUGUUUAAUGGACCUGUACUAAGUUCUGCAUGACACAACUGUCAAAACAACAUGUAUGCUGAAAUGAUGCUCAUUUCAAAGUUUUUCACUGUUCUGUUUUGUUUCUUAUUUGCAGUGUAUUGCAGGUCCUAGAUGCUUCUAAACGCCAUGUAUUACACAACAUCAGUGUUUUGCAGCUAUCAGAAGGAUGGUUAAAUAUGUUUAUAUAAUCUCCUUUAAAUCAUUUUCAAUAUGCAGUUUUGUUCUUGUUGGAUUGAUCUUGUGUUCAGUGAAUGCUCUUGCGUGAGUUCUCUCAUUUCUGCAAUCACAUUGUCCUAAAAGUACACUGUAUAAGUUCAUCAAGAAACUGAUCCCAUUCCUAAAAACAUAGAUGCAAACUAAUUAUCUAUCCGCCCUGGUAGCUGUUUCCAAUUCUCAUUCUGUGUGAGUUUGCAUCCCUGUGAUAAGCACUCAACAAUUGGUGAUGAAACAUUACAGAUGGAUGUGAUGGAAACUGUUUUUAACUGCUUUGAAGGAACAACAUUACAUGCUGCUUUCUUGGAGGAUCUUGUUUCGCUAUGAUCAAAGUAAUACAACUUUUUUAUUGUGCAGAUAAUCGUCCGUGAUUGGAUUUGUCAUCAAUAUUGACACACUGUGUCCCGCUCGGGGCGCAUGAUGAUGCGGGUUUUGUUCUCCAAAAGAUGCAGAUGGACGAAUCAGGACAGGACUUGCAGUCUACUUCUCCCUCCUCUGCGGGAGCACUUGGAGGAGCCGUUGACAGCGCGCUCGGACAUGCCCCUGCUCGCGCUGAGCGCAGCACGCCCACGCAGCACGCCCACGCAGCACGCCCACGCAGCACGCCCACGCAGCACACCCACGCAGCGACAAGCCUGCACACCUGGAACUGAUGAGGGCGAGCUGUUUAAAAGACCAGUGGACCCUAGGAUCGGCGCGGGAACUUAGUUUUCUCAUGGUGUACCUACCCGCUGUCGCCUGGAAAGUGAGCUGUGCGUCUCAUUUUCCCCUGGCUCUCCCUUUGGACUCUGACUGCCUCCUUUGUUCCUCGACUUUUCUCUCGCCCCUGGAUUCUGACGCCUCGCUCUCGCCCCGGAUCAUCUGCCUGCCCCCUGGACUUCCUCGUAUCUCGUUCAACACGUUGGUAACACUCACUUCAGUUAAAUUACACACAUAGUCUUACGCUACACACUCUUGUAUUCUAGUUCACAUUCCAUUUCCUUAGUUUAGUUGGAUUGUUUGUUGUUAUUAUUAUUAUAUAUAUUUAUUAUAUAUAAUAAAUA